UCAUUAGUUUAGCGGUGAGAACGUCCGGCUCAUAACCGGGAAGUCGUAGGUUCGAGUCCUGCAUGAUCC
rnacentral:tRNA from 1 species